rnacentral:rRNA from 1 species
ANCUGUGCCGCAUUACUCUUACUGAACGUGCAUAUUCACCUAUCUAGAUAAUCAUGGACGGAAAGACCCUAAAAAUUUUUUAUAAGAUAUAUAAUAAUAUUACUAUUUUGUUGGGGCGACAGAGUAACAUUUAAACUUACUUUAUUAUAAUAAGAACUUUUUAUAAUGAGAACAAAAAUUACUCUAGGGAUAACAGCAUAAUUAUUUAAUAGUUUGUGACCUCGAUGUUGGACUAAGGAACAUUUUAUUCAGAAGGUAAAAUAGUAUGUUCUGUUCGAACAAAUAACCCUUACAUGAUCUGAGUUCG